rnacentral:rRNA from 1 species
UACGUAGGGUCCGAGCGUUGUCCGGAAUUAUUGGGCGUAAAGAGCUCGUAGGCGGUCUGUUGCGUCGGCUGUGAAAACCCGGGGCUCAACCCCGGGCCUGCAGCCGAUACGGGCAGACUAGAGUUCGGCAGGGGAGACUGGAAUUCCUGGUGUAGCGGUGAAAUGCGCAGAUAUCAGGAGGAACACCGGUGGCGAAGGCGGGUCUCUGGGCCGAUACUGACGCUGAGGAGCGAAAGCGUGGGGAGCGAACAGG